rnacentral:lncRNA from 1 species
GAUCGGCAGGCAGUGCAGAGACUUGUCAUCGGCAGCCCAGGCGGAGGUCCGCUCUGAAAGGCUUUGUUUCCCUGCUCGCCCAGUGGGCAUCCUGCCUCACCAAGCGCCUACCCGAGGCCGGGCCGCGAGAGGCGCGGGGCACGGAGGCAUGUGCAGGGAGGAAAACAGCUUAUAGUCCCUGUCUAAUCAGAGAUCCUUGUGGAGGUGGGGAAGCAACCUCUCUCUUCUGUGAUACAUGUUUGAUGAGGGUAAUACAAUGCAGGAAAGGAUGCCAUUUCCCUUAUGCUCCACAUGCUUUCGUAAGAUUUUCUUUCUUUUUUUUUUUGAUUUUAUAAACUAUUACAUACUCAUUGUCUAUAAUAAAUGUGCUUAAAAAUAAUGGUAAUAUAUACUAAUAAUUCUGCCACCCACCUCUCACUGUUUUGCCAUAUUUCUGGGACUCUACCCCGCCUUCUCCUUAGUGACUGAGAGAUCUUUGAAAUGUGCAUGGCUUCAGUACCAUCUCUAUGCAGAUAAUUCCUUAACUUUCAUUUUCAGUUUUGCUGCUGCUUCCUGCCAUAAUCCCCUAUCUUCUUAGCUGCAAUUUUACAUCUCCCUGGGCAUGGCCAUUUUCAAUUUUAAUUUCUUUUUUUCUUUUGUUUUGGUGAGGAAGAUUGGCCCUGAGCCAACGUCUGUUGCCAAUCUUCCUCUUUUUGUUAGAGGAAGAUUGUUGCUGAGCUAACAGCUGCACCAGUCUUCCUCUAUUUUAUGUGGGAUGCUGCCACAGCAUGGCUCAAUGAGUGGUGCUAGGUCUGCACCCAGGAUCUGAACCUGUGAACCCCAAGCGGCCAAAGUGGAGCAAGUGAACUUAACCACUACGCCACCUGGCCAGCCCCUUCAGUUUUAAUUUCUAAAUGUCCAAGACUGAGUUCCAGGCCUUCUGGUCCAGACAAGACAGUAUUUACUCAUUUUUUCUCAUGUCCACAAGUUCAACUACAAACUCUGGAAACAACACAAAGAUGGUCACAGGAGGACUCUAAAGUGGAAAGAGGGAAGCACACUGGUCUGGGAUUCAGGAAGGAGUGGCACAGUGCAGGCUUAGGGCCCCAUCCAACAGAAGGUGGCCCAGGUGUGCCCAUUCCUCCCUGGAUGACACAAGGUCAGCCCACAGAACCUACAGGGGUGUUGGUGCAGAGGUUUGCUGACACCAAGAGGCCAGGGAAUGGGUUGUCCUUCCCACUGAGGAUGCCAACACACGCUCUUUAUCCCUAGAGGAUAAAGAAUCCUUGGAGACCCCCUUUCCCUUCCUAGAGGCACUGUGGGGCCAGGAAGAUCCACUAAAACUGGUUCUCAGGCCCAGAAGUGCUCUUCAAGCCCAAGAGCAGAAAUUCCUUCUACCAUCUGAAGAUGCCAGGCAACUGGGCAGCCAGGGACCAGCAGAUUCAGCCACAACAAGCAGCCACUCACCCAGGGAAUGCUCUCUGCCAGGCUGAACCUGAGACUUCUCUUCUCUCCUUAGGGACAAGGGACAGCCAGGUAGCAACAGGGGGCUAUCUUGUUACAGUAAGCACUGGCCUAGAAAAUGUUUUGUUU